GAAUUUGAUCCUGGCUCAGAUUGAACGCUGGCGGCAGGCCUAACACAUGCAAGUCGAGCGGUAGAGAGAAGCUUGCUUCUCUUGAGAGCGGCGGACGGGUGAGUAAUGCCUAGGAAUCUGCCUGGUAGUGGGGGAUAACGCUCGGAAACGGACGCUAAUACCGCAUACGUCCUACGGGAGAAAGCAGGGGACCUUCGGGCCUUGCGCUAUCAGAUGAGCCUAGGUCGGAUUAGCUAGUUGGUGAGGUAAUGGCUCACCAAGGCGACGAUCCGUAACUGGUCUGAGAGGAUGAUCAGUCACACUGGAACUGAGACACGGUCCAGACUCCUACGGGAGGCAGCAGUGGGGAAUAUUGGACAAUGGGCGAAAGCCUGAUCCAGCCAUGCCGCGUGUGUGAAGAAGGUCUUCGGAUUGUAAAGCACUUUAAGUUGGGAGGAAGGGCAGUAAAUUAAUACUUUGCUGUUUUGACGUUACCGACAGAAUAAGCACCGGCUAACUCUGUG
rnacentral:rRNA from 1 species